CAAAUACAUUGAAAAAAUCUUGGAAAAUUCCUGUAUUUUCCUUUUUUGAGCUUGCAGUUACAACAGACAUAAUUCUUAUGCCUCCUUUAUACCCUACAAGUUCUUCCAAUUCUCCUUUGACUUCUUCAGGCCACUGAAGACACUGCCAAAGCAAUAUCAACCACUUCCUCCAGAGCCAAAGAUAAGCAGCCAGGUCUCCCACACCAGGAAAACGCUCAGCCAAGCACAUACCUUUCCAAUAUCAGCAAAGCUCACAAGGCAUAUAUCUCUUAGGGAACUCAAUGAAGCAUCUGGAAGAGAAAAAGUUACAGAUUUGAUGAAGAAACUUGAAUUGACUUUACAAUCACAACAGAACAAAAUAAAGCAUCUUCCUGAAUCCAGCUUCCAAUAUAUACAGAGCUCCAAGGAUGUUUGCAGCUCAGGUUCCCUGUACCAACCUCUGCUUCAGAAACUCCUGCCAUUCCUACCACUGUUUCUGGUCCUUCAUGUGCAGGCCCUCUGAGACAGCACAACCUCACUUUAUGUCCUUGAAUUCUUUGACCUUGUGAAACAACAGGGACAGAACAGAACAAAGAAGUGGCCUUCACCCCUGCUAUCCUAAGUGUUCCUUUAAAGUCCGUGUUUGGAUUAAAAAAAUAUUUUACAAAGAAAGUAUUAACUUUACUGGAUUUGUAUGAAUAACCUUGUAUUUUUUACCAUAUGUAAAUAUAUAUUUCUCUCACUCUGAGAAAUUUCUC
rnacentral:lncRNA from 1 species